UUGGCUGUGGAAGGUAAAAGAAAAUUACAACAAAAGAUCCUAACAAUCCAAUAGGAUUAUAGAAAAAUUACAAUUAAACGUUAAAAAUCAUAAUCAAACAUUAAGCAAGCUCAAUUAAAUUUUAUUAAAGUUAUAAAAGAAACACAAGGAAAUCCUAAAGAAAUAAAAAAGAAUAUUAAAAAAAACUUAGUCAAAUCCUAACAAAAAUCUAAAUAAAUCUUAAAUUCUAAUCAAAUCCUAAUUCUAAUUCAACCUUAAUCAAACCCUAGAUAAAUCCUAAAUCUUGAACAUACACUAGUCAAAUCUUAGACAAAUCAUAACCCUAAUAAAUCCUAAUCAAUUCCAAACCCUAGACAAAUCUUAGUCAAAUUCUAAAUAAAUCCUAGUCAAAUUCUAAUUCUAAAUCCUAACCAAAUCCUAACCCUAACCAAACCCUAAACCCUAAAUCAAAUCCUAAUCAAAUCCUAAUCCUAAACUCUAAUCAAAUCCUAAUCCAAACCAAACCCUAAUCACAUAAUUGAAAUUUAAAUAACUAAAGAUUGAACCGUUGAUUCUAAUUCAAAAUUUGAACACUUCUUGAAAUUUAAGUUAGCAACUAGCACACAAAUUUUGAAGAAAAUCGCACUUACUAAUAAAUUUAUGACCUCAAAAUUACGCUCAAAUAUCAGUCGGCCUCUCCUUUUCUAAUCUAAUGCUAAACUUCCAGUACCAAUAUCUCCUUUUUUCACCAUUCGAUUGCUUCCAAAUUUUACUUACACAUAGGAAAUCAAGUCUUCUACUGAUAAAACCAAAAAUCUCUCCAAUCCAACUAGCAAAUUGCUAGAUAUCUAAGAAAACCUUACUGAUCCUCAAAACCCUAAAUCUUGAGACCUUA
rnacentral:lncRNA from 1 species